rnacentral:rRNA from 1 species
AGUAGGAGAAGAUCUUGAAACCUAAAAUUUUUGGCGGUUUUUUAAGCUGAUCAGAGGAACCUGUCCUGUAAUCGAUGGUCCACGAUUGGGUUUACUUUUUUUUUAUAUAUCGCCGUCAAUGACAGGUCAAGAUGUAGCUGAUGGGAAAGGUUGAAAGUGGAUUUGAAUGUUUAGAGAGAGAGAAUGAGCGCUGAGAAAUGU